CAGGCUUAUGACGCUCUGGUCUCCGAGGUGGGAAAUCAAGUGAAAACAACCAUUGAGUCCCCAUUGCCAUGUGUGUCUGAUUCACUAACCAAAGUUUUCUUUUGUGACAUUCAACCAAAAAACGGAUUCUUCAAGCUGUUCAAACAGUUUUUGCUCACAGAAAAUGUGGACGAGGCACAGGUUAUAAUUGUCCAGGCAUCUGCGAAUGGACAGACUGACUGCAACUCCUUCGAACUAUUCAACAGCUUGGUACAGAGAAAACCAAUAGUGAGCAAUAGAUGGGUAAACAAUAUCUGCUUGCUGGUACCACACUU